rnacentral:rRNA from 1 species
GAUGAACGCUGGCGGCGUGCCUAAUACAUGCAAGUCGAGCGAAUGGAUUAAGAGCUUGCUCUUAUGAAGUUAGCGGCGGACGGGUGAGUAACACGUGGGUAACCUGCCCAUAAGACUGGGAUAACUCCGGGAAACCGGGGCUAAUACCGGAUAACAUUUUGAACCGCAUGGUUCGAAAUUGAAAGGCGGCUUCGGCUGUCACUUAUGGAUGGACCCGCGUCGCAUUAGCGAGUUGGUGAGGUAACGGCUCACCAAGGCAACGAGGCGUAGCCGACCUGAGAGGGUGAUCGGCCACACUGGGGCUGAGACACGGCCCAGACUCCUACGGGAGGCAGCAGUAGGGAAUCUUCCGCAAUGGACGAAAGUCUGACGGAGCAACGCCGCGUGAGUGAUGAAGGCUUUCGGGUCGUAAAACUCUGUUGUUAGGGAAGGACAAGUGCUAGUUGAAUAAGCUGGCACCUUGACGGUACCUAACCAGAAAGCCACGGCUAACUACGUGCCAGCCGCCGCAGUAA